AGUGAACGCUGGCGGUAGGCCUAACACAUGCAAGUCGAACGGCAGCACAGUAAGAGCUUGCUCUUACGGGUGGCGAGUGGCGGACGGGUGAGGAAUACAUCGGAAUCUACUUUUUCGUGGGGGAUAACGUAGGGAAACUUACGCUAAUACCGCAUACGACCUACGGGUGAAAGCAGGGGAUCUUCGGACCUUGCGCGAUUGAAUGAGCCGAUGUCGGAUUAGCUAGUUGGCGGGGUAAAGGCUCACCAAGGCGACGAUCCGUAGCUGGUCUGAGAGGAUGAUCAGCCACACUGGAACUGAGACACGGUCCAGACUCCUACGGGAGGCAGCAGUGGGGAAUAUUGGACAAUGGGCGCAAGCCUGAUCCAGCCAUACCGCGUGGGUGAAGAAGGCCUUCGGGUUGCAAAGCCCUUUUGUUGGGAAAGAAAAGCAGCAGGUUAAUACCCCGCUGUUCUGACGGUACCCAAAGAAUAAGCACCGGCUAACUUCGUG
rnacentral:rRNA from 1 species